AUUGAACGCUGGCGGCAGGCCUAACACAUGCAAGUCGAGCGGUAACACAGAGGAGCUUGCUCCUUGGGUGACGAGCGGCGGACGGGUGAGUAAUGCCUGGGGAUCUGCCCGAUAGAGGGGGAUAACUACGGGAAACUGUAGCUAAUACCGCAUAAUGUCUACGGACCAAAGUGGGGGCUCUUCGGACCUCAUGCUAUCGGAUGAACCCAGGUGGGAUUAGCUAGUUGGUGAGGUAAUGGCUCACCAAGGCGACGAUCUCUAACUGGUUUGAGAGAAUGACCAGUCACACUGGAACUGAGACACGGUCCAGACUCCUACGGGAGGCAGCAGUGGGGAAUAUUGCACAAUGGGCGCAAGCCUGAUGCAGCCAUGCCGCGUGUGUGAAGAAGGCCUUCGGGUUGUAAAGCACUUUCAGCGGGGAGGAAGGGCUACUAGUUAAUACCUAGUGGCAUUGACGUUACUCGCAGAAGAAGCACCGGCUAACUCCGUGCCAGCCGCCGCAGUAAGAC
rnacentral:rRNA from 1 species